GAAUCCAAGCGAGAACAUAAGAAAAAGUCACUAAAAAUCAGCAAAUCAAACGGCCCCAAAACACUGAACCCUUCCGCCUUAUCUCAUCAUCUCCCCCAUUCAUUUCAUCUCCAACCCUCGAAAACAAAACAAAACUGCUUUUGUCUCCGAUCAACAAAACAAUGGACAACACCAACACCAAUCACCAGCCUCCAUCCACCGCAUAUCCGCCACACUCCACCUCCACCACUCCACCCCCACCACCACCAGGGGCACCAUCCUCAGCCCCAUUCCACCACCUCCUUCAACAACAGCAGCAGCAACUUCAAAUGUUUUGGUCUUACCAGCGUCAAGAAAUUGAACAAGUUAAUGAUUUCAAGAACCAUCAACUCCCUCUAGCAAGAAUCAAGAAAAUCAUGAAAGCUGAUGAAGAUGUGCCCAUGAUCUCCGCUGAAGCACCUAUUUUGUUUGCUAAAGCAUGUGAGCUUUUCAUUUUAGAACUGACAAUUCGUUCUUGGCUUCAUGCUGAGGAAAACAAGAGAAGGACUUUACAGAAGAAUGACAUUGCUGCUGCUAUUACCAGAACUGACAUUUUUGAUUUCUUGGUUGAUAUUGUACCGAGAGAUGAGAUCAGAGAGGAAGCUGCUGGGCUUGGUGGAAUUGUCGGCGCUACGGCUAGUGGGGUACCUUAUUAUUCCCCUCCGAUGGGACAGCCUGCCGCUGCCGCUGGCGGGAUGAUGAUUGGAAGGCCAGCUGUGGACCCUGCCACUGGGGUUUAUGUUCAGCCACCUUCUCAGGCAUGGCAAUCUGUUUGGCAGACAGCUGCCGCCGAGGAUGGUUCUUAUGGGAGUGGUGGUGCCAGUGGUGGACAAGGGAGAACAGUGGUGUAAUGGCUCUUUGAUCUUUUAUUGGCUAUGGUGUGCUGUGUGGGACCAUGCUAUCUCACUUCCAGUUAAGCUUCUCAGAUGCAGUGAUUAGUGGCAUGACAGAAGGCAAAUAUGUACCUUGACUAAUAUUACUUGGAAUUUGAGUGCAUAUGAUCUCUAAGUCUACUUGUUGGCUAUUGUUCAAGAAAGCUUUCCUUAGCUGUUAGAGACUUCUUAAAACUUAUUAACUUAAUUGUAUGGCAGCUCUACAUUUGCUGCUGACUUGCCUAACUAUAUCUGAUGUUCAGUUUCUUAAUUUAUUAUCUAUUUGUUACUGAUUUGAAUGGUUCUAUGUCAUCAUAUGCUACCAUUUGAAUGUCA